ensembl:lncRNA
AGGCCACACAUAAUAGAGGACACACUGUUGACCUACUGAUCUCCAAGGGCCUGAGCAUUUCAAAGGUUACUGUGUCUGAUGUGGGCCUGUCUGAUCAUUACUGUGUUUUCUUUGAAAGUAAAAUUUCAGACCACACAAAUAUGUCAACAGCAGUGAUCACAAAGCGGUGUAUAACUGAAUACAGUAGUGAGAUCUUUAACCAGGUCUUCCCUUUAAGACCUGGCCUGUCCAGAGGUUCAGUCAAUGAGCUCGUCAAUAGCUUCAAUGCUAAAAUGUUAAAGGUUAUGGACACUAUUGCGAGGCCCCGCUGCACUUUUUCGGAGCUGCCCUCAGAUUCAGACCUCAGCACCACCCAGUGACAGCAGACAGAUCAUCCAACAUGUUAACUGCAAAAUGAACUGAUGAAAACAGUACAAAGGUUAAAGUAUCACACGUGCUGUAGUGAAAGCUGCAGCUUUAUUGAUAAAGUUAAAGACAAAAAAACAAAAGGAUUAAUCACUCAUGUAACUGUGUCACUAUAUAUCAGCAUUAACAGGACCUCAGUUUGGUGUUUCACAAAGCUGCUGAUCUCAGACCUGCACAGCUUCCGAUUUAAACACUUGAUGUACUCAGCUGCAUGAAGAGCAUAUGAGAUUUUCUCGGACACAAUUAAAUAAAACCUGAUGAAGGUCAAAGGUCGUCACUUGUAUGUUGAACUACAAACUUGUCAUCUGGAAUUCUUUCACAGUUUUUUGCAGAUAAUGUGUUAUUUACUUUAAAGUGAUUCAGAGUUAUUCAUACCAGAGUAACCAGAGAGGAUCACAUAUUUUUAAAUAUAUAACUUUCUACAGGACUGAAUAUAAUAUCUUUAUGUAAAAGUCCGGAGCCUCUGGGGAGUAUCCGAGUAUUUAUAACAUUACACAAACCAAAGGUCUCCAUCACAGUGUUCAUGAAAUGCUGGAUUUAUCCAUCUCCUGGAUCGGGCCUACGGAGGAGUGCUGAAGAUUUCCCUGUGAGGGAGCUGCUGGUGAAGAUCAUGAGUCCUGCUUGAUCAAUGCGA